rnacentral:rRNA from 1 species
UGGGGAAUAUUGGACAAUGGGGGAAACCCUGAUCCAGCAAUGCCGCGUGAGUGAAGAAGGCCUUAGGGUUGUAAAGCUCUUUCGCCCGCGAAGAUAAUGACGGUAGCGGGAGAAGAAGCCCCGGCUAACUCCGUGCCAGCAGCCGCGGUAAUACGGAGGGGGCUAGCGUUGUUCGGAAUUACUGGGCGUAAAGCGUACGUAGGCGGAUGCGCAAGUUGGGGGUGAAAUCCCGGGGCUUAACCUCGGAAUUGCCCUCAAAACUGCACGUCUUGAGACCGAGAGAGGUAAGGGGAAUUCCUAGUGUUGAGGUAAAAUUCGUAGAUAUUAGGAAGAACACCAGUGGCGAAGGCGCCUUACUGGCUCGGUACUGACGCUGAGGUACGAAAGCGUGGGGAGCAAACA